UACGGAGGGGGCUAGCGUUGUUCGGAGUUACUGGGCGUAAAGCGCGCGUAGGCGGCUUUGUAAGUCAGAGGUGAAAGCCUGGAGCUCAACUCCAGAACUGCCUUUGAGACUGCGUCGCUAGAAUCAUGGAGAGGUUAGUGGAAUUCCGAGUGUAGAGGUGAAAUGCGUAGAUAUUCGGAAGAACACCAGAGGCGAAGGCGACUAACUGGACAUGUAUUGACGCUGAGGUGCGAAAGCGUGGGGAGCAAACAGG
rnacentral:rRNA from 1 species